CGCCCGUCAAACCAUGGGAGCUGGUAAUGCCCGAAGUCGGUUUAUAAAGAAACUGCCUAAGGCAGGACUGGUGACUGGGGUUAAGUCGUAACAAGGUAUCCCUACGAGAACGUGGGGAUGGAUUACCUCCUUUCUACGGAGUACACUUGUCUUUUAUCACUAUAAAAAAGACUUAUAACCAAAAUUAAUAGACCUAUAUUUAUUUAUAAACGUCAUGGCUUUUAUUAAUAGGUCAAAAGCUAUAUAUCUAGUUUUGAGAGAACAUUCUCUCAUAUGUUCUUUGAAAACUGAAUAGUAAAAUAUUUUUCGAUAUUUACAACGACAUCAAAAAUCAAAUUAAUGGUCAAUUUGUUUUGAUUCAUCGAGUAAGUCAUAUUUAAUAUGAUUCAUUGAAAUGUCUUAAAAUACACAUCUAAAACUAACAACAAUAGGAAAAUACUACUUUUAAAUAAGGAAGAGUUUGUGGUGGAUGCCUUGGGUCUGGAAGUCGAUGAAGGACGUGAUUACCUGCGAUAAGCCUCGUAGAGCUGGAAAUAUGCUAUGAAACGGGGAUUUCCGAAUGGGGAAACCUAACUAUGGUAAUGCAUAGUUGCUUAUGUCUGAAUACAUAGGACAUAAAGCGAGAUACCUUGUGAACUGAAACAUCUUAGUAGCAAGAGGAAAAGAAAAUAAAUAAUGAUUUCUUUAGUAGCGGCGAGCGAACGAGAAAGAGCCCAAACCAUUUUAAAUGGGGUCAUAGGACAGACUACAUAGAGUUACAAAAUUUAAUAAUAGCAGAAGCUUUUGGGAAGAAGCGGCACAGAAGGUGAUACCCCUGUAUGCGAAAUUAUUAAAUCUCUUGACUGUAUCCUGAGUAGGGCGGGGCACGUGAAACCCUGUCUGAAUUUGCCGGGACCACCCGGUAAGGCUAAAUACUAACCAGACACCGAUAGCGAACUA
rnacentral:sRNA from 2 species